CUUCCAUUUGGUUGGCUCCUCUCCCCCAUGAAUAGUGGGGCUGUGAGUGGGGCAGCAGGUACUGAGUGUUGGACUCUUGCUCUUUCAGGGGCCGGUGACCUUUGAGGAGGUGGCUGUGCAUUUCACCAGGGAAGAGGGGGCUCUGCUGGACCCCACUCGGAGAGUCCUUUACAGAGACGUCAUUCAGGAGAACUAUGAGAAUGUGACCUUGCUGGGGUUUCCAGUUUCCAAACCCUCUGUGAUCUCCCAGCUGGAAGGAGGGGAAGAGCCGUGGGUCCUAGAUCUCCAGAGUUCAGAGGAAAGCGAGAUCCUGAGAAGUCCCUGGACAGCAGGUGAUGGGGUGGUGAGGGAGAGCGAGAAGCAGAAUCCUCACCAGGAAGAUGCUGAGCUCGCCGAAGCGCAUGGGGAAUUACUGCGAAGAUCCAAAGGGAAUGUGUCCAGCCCCCGUGAGCAGGGAAAAGCUGAUGAACUACCACAGACCAGAGAGAGAGCAGGGAAACCACUCAGAGGAGAGAGUGGAUGAACCCAUUAAUUGUCAGGGAACUCACAGGGACCUCAAGGAAACGACAUCCCAGGAGAAAAUCCUCACGGAAAAGUGAGAGAAUACAUGUAGUGAGUAUGGGAAAAACUUCAAUUACCGCUCAGCCCUUAUUCGACAUGAGAUAAUCCACACGAAAGAGAGACCCUACGAAUGCUGUGAGUGCGGGAAAAGUUUCACUCAGAGAUAUACCCUUAACUCUCAUCAGAGAAUCCACACGGGAGAGCGACCCUACGAAUGCCGCGAGUGUGGGAAAAGCUUCUCUCAGAACUCAACCCUUAUUACACAUUACAGAAUCCACACCGGGCAGAGACCCUAUGAAUGCUGCGAGUGUGGGAAAAGCUUCACUCAUAGCUCGGGCCUUUCUAAACAUCAG